rnacentral:sRNA from 1 species
UCAGGUUCUCCUGGCGUAUCUUCAAGCGUGUGGAUGGUCCCUCCCUCAUCCGCAUCGCGAUGCGCCCUCCUCGCCCCGCCCGUCGGCAACGACUGGCGGGGCUUUUU